CACUAAGAAGCUAAAAUGGAGAUAGCAUUAGCCUUUUAAGCUAAAAAUGGUGCCCCCCAAACACCCUUAGUGG
rnacentral:tRNA from 1 species